UACGUAGGGGGCAAGCGUUGUCCGGAUUUAUUGGGCGUAAAGCGCGUGUAGGCGGUUUCUUAAGUCUGAUGUGAAAGCCCUGGGCUCAACCCAGGAAGUGCACUCGAAACUGCUCGGCUUGAGUAUGGAAGAGGGUUGCGGAAUUCCCGGUGUAGAGGUGAAAUUCGUAGAUAUCGGGAGGAACACCAGUGGCGAAGGCGGCAACCUGGGCCAAUACUGACGCUGAGGUGCGAAAGCGUGGGGAGCAAACAGG
rnacentral:rRNA from 1 species